rnacentral:lncRNA from 1 species
GUCAAUGUCUAUACUUUUCUUCACUUCAGUUUCCAAGAAUUCCUGACUGCUGUGUUCUAUGCCCUGAAGAAUGACAAAAAAAAGGAUAUUUUUUUUUGGUCAUGUGGGGAAAACAUGGCAAGAAAUAUUCCAACAAUAUGGAAAAGGGUUUUCAUCAGCAAUGAUACAAUUUUUAUUUGGCCUCUUACAUAACAGAAAAGCAAAGACUGUGGAAACUACUUUUGGGAGAAAAGUCUCUCCAGGACUUCAAGAAGAGUUAUUGAAGUGGACCAAAAGGAAAACAAAGGAUAAAUCUUCUAGAUUACAGAUUAAAUCAGUGGACUUGUUUCACUGGUUGUAUGAGAUACAGGAAUAAGAAUAUGCAAAAAAGAUAAUUGAUAAUUUACAGUCAAUUGUACUACUCCAAUCUACCUAUACAAAAAUGGACAUUCUGGCUAUGUCAUUCUGUGUAAAAAGCAGUCACAGUCCUCUUUCAAUGUCUCUGAAGUGUCAGCACCUACUUGGAUUUGAGGAGGAAGAGAAAACCAUGGCAUUCAUGCCAACAGCCUUAACAUUUAAU